UUAGGAUAAAAUACUUCAUUACCUGCCUUGUGGGGGCUUAGAAAUGUAAGGUAAAGCACCUGCUGUGCUGGAGGGGCUGAGAUGUUCCCAGUUUGCUGGCAACAAUACUCCAAUGGUGGCUGGAGGGGCCAUGGGAGAGUGUGUUGCAGUUAACGGCUGCAGGGUUCUCACUCUGCAGAUGACCUCUGCUGCUCCUUGGUUGAUUGGAUGAGUGGAAGAUGGCCACCAGCAACUCCCAGUGCGUGUGCUAUUGCUCUGCCAUAUGGUGAUGCUCACAUUUUUUGCCCUCACCCACAGGCCCUCAUCGUUGGCAGAGGAGAUGGGAGUCACUUAGUAUCAACAGGGCAUGAGGAAGUGUUAUAAGUCGUGUAUGAGUCAUGUAAUAGCAACACCAAGGAGAGAGCCUAUCACACUUCUCGGAGGAGGCCUCCAAGGAGCACUGUUCACAUGGUCCACGAUUGCAGCCUGGACAGUAACAGCCACCUUUUAUUUUAUUAUUUUAUUUAUUUGGUAGAGACAGGGUCUCACUAUGUUGCCCAGCCUGGUCUCAAACUCCUGGCUUCAAGUGAUCCUUCCACCUCGGCCACCCAAAGUGCUGGGAUUAUAGGUGCGAGCCACUGCGCUUGGCCCUUUCCUUCUUAUUUGGAGCCAGUAAGUGUUUAAAUGAGUAUUCCAUAACAAUUAAGUUUAUUAAAGACACUGCUUCCAUUUUGGAGGUAACACCACUUGAUUAAGCAGGUCAUUUCUAUGGAAGACAAACUUGCCACCGUGUCUUUUUCAUCUCAUGUACUUUCUUAAAAGUACAUUAAAAAAAAUAAAGCUACAGAUGUGUCUUUCGGCUGUAGAAGUUAUCUGAUCUCUAACAGGAGGUUCCAGAGAGGGUAUCCACCUGCCUGUGAUUGAGGCAAAGUGAACCGAGGCACUCACCCCUUGUCACAUGCUUUUUGGUGUCUUAGAUUUUGCGAUGUCCUCUUCAUCCAACUUACAUGACAAUUUUCUCAGCUUAUUGUCACAUAGGGACUUCAAUUUUCAAGUGAAUGAGGUUUCUGGUGGAAUGGCUCCAUAAUUUAUGAUCACCAUGGCAACAGUGGGAUUAUUUUUCUGACUAGCUACUGCUUCUAUA
rnacentral:lncRNA from 1 species